rnacentral:rRNA from 1 species
UGGGGAAUAUUGCGCAAUGGACGAAAGUCUGACGCAGCGACGCCGCGUGAGGGAUGAAGGCCUUCGGGUUGUAAACCUCUGUCAGGAGGGAAGAAGUGUGAUCGUGCUAAUCAGCGAUCAUUUGACGGUACCUCCAGAGGAAGCACCGGCUAACUCCGUGCCAGCAGCCGCGGUAAUACGGAGGGUGCAAGCGUUAAUCGGAAUCACUGGGCGUAAAGCGCGCGUAGGCGGCAAAGUAAGUCAGAGGUGAAAUCCCACGGCUCAACCGUGGAACUGCCUUUGAUACUGCUUAGCUUGAGUUUGUGAGAGGAUGGCGGAAUUCCAGGUGUAGGAGUGAAAUCCGUAGAGAUCUGGAGGAACAUCAGUGGCGAAGGCGGCCAUCUGGCACAAUACUGACGCUGAGGUGCGAAAGCGUGGGGAGCAAACA